GUUAAACACAUAAACAUUCUUCAGUCUAUCGAUCACAAUUUACAACAAUUAUAACUACAGUAUUGUUUCUUAAUACUCAUUUUGUACGUGUAGCUACAAUAUUAUUGUCGUCCGUUAGAGGUUAUUUAAAACGAAAGAAAUUUCUUUUCAAGCUAGAAAUAGUCAGACAAUGACGAUAUAAUCUAAAGUAGAAUUGAAUAUCUGACGAUCUUUAAACUCACUUUCAAUUAUAGAAGAAAAUAGAAGAAAAUUCAAUUUCAGAUAGCUCGUUUAUAUUAACCUUCGUAAUAAUUCGUUUUUCCUCGGUCGAUUCGAGCAAAUUUAAUCUCGAAUCUCGAUCAUCUCAUAAAUCGAGUUUCUUCAAUAGCUCGCAUAUUUCACGCGGUUCUGAAUUAUCGAAUUUAUCUUACAUCCAAUUUUUUGCUUGUGUAUUGUGAACUUUGUAAAGUUAUAAUUUGCUUAUAGUAAAAGUAAAUUUAAAAAAUUUUCAUUAUUUUACUUAAAUUUCAAAAAUAUUUCAUUCUACGACAUUCGAUCGAUAUCUUGUGAUUAAUAUUUAAUGUGAUAAACUAUGAAAAUUACGUAUCGAAGAAAUACAAUUUCAUAGGUUUGUACAUAAUGAAGACCAAAGUUUAAAAAUCUAUUGUAAAUGGGAACAUUUACACAAUUUACACAAAUAACGAGAAUAAAUAGAUUUUUAUCUAUCUUUCGUUCAUCCUGAAAUGUGCAGCAUCUCAAUAUUUUUUUUCAAAUGUUGUCUACGUGCGAAUGGAAUUAUUUCAUGAUACUGAAGUGUCAUCACAGCACAAAGAAGAAGAAACAAUAAGAUAGAAAUUAAAAUGUAAGUGUAAGACAGUGAUUCUUUAAAUAGUCAAUGAUUAACCUCGAUAAUUUAUAAAUAAAUUAGAACUUCUAUUUAGUACUUUUAAAACAAAAAUAAUAAAAAAAUAAUAAAAAUAAUAUGGAAUAUUCCAACAUAAUUUCAGAUCUUGAACCAUACCCAAAAUUAUUGUUCGUUUAUCUUUAUCUACUCUUGUUAUUAUUUGAGUAUACAUGUAUUCAUAUGAAAUAUUAUUUUGAUAUUUUGUCAUUUGGCAUAUUAACCUUUUUAGUUUUGAAACUAAUUACAUCAUAUUUUUAUGUACUAAGAAAUCUAUUUUUAAGUGUUAUUUAAAAAUUGAAUUCAAUAAAAAAAAAUAUUAUAUAUGUAAAAUAUAAAAAUAUUGAAAAAAUAUGAAAGAAUAAAAUAAUGAUAGUAACAAUAAUAGAUAACAUGAGGCAGAGAAUUCUAUGCAAUUUUAUCUGACAAUUUAUCAAAAUCAACUAUCUUUGGACAACCUAUAAUAAUUCAUUUUUUUUAUCUAUCUUAAAGAUAUUCAUCUUAGGAAAGUCUACAUUCGCAAUAUCAUCAAUCACAACAAAGACUAGUCGAUAAUUUUCCAAUUUUCUAUCUUUCAACCUUCGACCAUGGGAUUCUUUAAAACUCUCUGUCUUCGAAGAUCAUUGGGAAUGAUGAUGG